UACGUAGGGAGCAAGCGUUGUCCGGAAUCAUUGGGCGUAAAGCACGCGUAGGUGGCCUCAUAAGUCCGCUGUGAAAGUCGGGAAGCACUCAACUUGAAGCCGGUGGAUACUGUGGAGCUAGAGCGGAAGAGGCGAGUGGAAUUCCUGGUGUAGCGGUGAAUGCGCAGAUAUCAGGAGGAACACCAUAUGAAGGCAGCUCGCUGGGAC
rnacentral:rRNA from 1 species